GACGAACGCUGGCGGCGUGCCUAAUACAUGCAAGUCGAGCGAAGUUUUUCUGGUGCUUGCACCGGAAAAACUUAGCGGCGAACGGGUGAGUAACACGUAAAGAACCUUCCUCAUAGACUGGGACAACUAUUGGAAACGAUAGCUAAUACCGGAUAACAGCCUUAACUGCAUGGUUGAUGUUUAAAAGUUGGUUUUGCUAACACUAUGAGAUGGCUUUGCGGUGAAUUAGCUAGUUGGGGGGGAAAGGCCUACCAAGGCGACGAUGCAUAGCCGCCCUGAGAGGGUGAUCGGCCACACUGGGACUGAGACACGGCCCAGACUCCUACGGGAGGCAGCAGUAGGGAAUCUUCCGCAAUGGGCGAAAGCCUGACGGAGCAACGCCGCGUGAGUGAAGAAGGAUUUCGGUUCGUAAAGCUCUGUUGUUAGGGAAGAAUGAUUGUGUAGUAACUAUACACAGUAGAGACGGUACCUAACCAGAAAGCCACGGCUAACUACGUG
rnacentral:rRNA from 1 species